CCUACGGGCGGCAGCAGUGGGGAAUAUUGGACAAUGGGGGGAACCCUGAUCCAGCCAUGCCGCGUGUGUGAAGAAGGCCCUCGGGGUGUAAAGCACUUUCAGUGAGGAAGAACGCCUGGUGGUGAAUACCCAUCAGGAAAGACAUCACUCACAGAAGAAGCACCGGCUAACUCCGUGCCAGCAGCCGCGGUAAUACGGAGGGUGCGAGCGUUAAUCGGAAUUACUGGGCGUAAAGCGCGCGUAGGUGGCUUGAUAAGCCGGUUGUGAAAGCCCCGGGCUCAACCUGGGAACGGCAUCCGGAACUGUCAAGCUAGAGUGCAGGAGAGGAAGGUAGAAUUCCCGGUGUAGCGGUGAAAUGCGUAGAGAUCGGGAGGAAUACCAGUGGCGAAGGCGGCCUUCUGGACUGACACUGACACUGAGGUGCGAAAGCGUGGGUAGCAAACAGGAUUAGAUACCCUAGUAGUC
rnacentral:rRNA from 1 species